AGUAUUUAGUCCCAGGUUAGUGGGACACACUAUCGCCUCCAGACAUGACGGCCACAACUUUUAUACUCUGAGCAUUUGUUCCUGGUGUGUAGCUGUUCACCGUUGUCAGGUAGAACCCAUGUACCCAUAUUUCAAUGGAUGAAGAUCAUUCAUUUGUAAAUGAUGACAAACAUUCAACCAAGAGAGACGUUUUGUGUUGUGUUGUGUGUGCUUGUGUCAUUUCAUGGGCUGUUGUGUUUGAGCGAUGUGUAAUUUGGUGUUGUGUCCUCUCGUGUCGUGUGGUGUUUUGUUGUAUUGUGUCUUUCUUUGUGUCAUUGUGUGUUGUGACGUGGUGUUGUGUCUCCUCGUGUGGUGUGCUGCUCCGUCCUACAGGGUCUGGGUGGUGAUGAUGAUGAUGAAGAAGUGACGUAUCACACUGUGAGAGCUCCUCCUUCCUCUGCCGCGGUCUCUGAUGAUGCCAGUGUCCUCUACGCCACUGUCAACACACACACACAACAUGGGAAAAACUAGAAGAAGCGAGACGCCACUCUUCCACGUGCUGUCCACGCCUCGUGGGUCACAGGGCUCGCUGCUCCCUUCUCUUGGGGAAGGAAUCCAGCACACAAAGACCAACCGGAGAACCCGGGCAAAGAAAGAAAACAGGUCUCCAAGCAAGCAAUCCUCUCCAAUCCAAACGGCAUUAAUUAACUUAAACUGUUGUACCUGUCCAGUUACCCCGCUCUUCUGAGCCGUCCGGGUCGCCGCUGCACCUCCUCUGCUGAUCCGGGGAGGGCUGCAGACUACCACAUGCCUCCUCCAAUACAUGUGGAGUCGCCAGCCGCUUCUUUUCACCUGAGAGUGAGGAGUUUCACCAGGAGGACGCAGCGCAUGGGAUGAUCACGCUAUUACCCCCAGUCCCCCCUCCCCCCCUGAACAGGUGCCACGACUGACCAGAGGAGGCGCUAGUGCAGUGAACACCACACAUACCCACAUCCAGCUUCCCACCUGCAGACAUCUCCAAUUGUGUCUGUAGGGACGCCAGACCAAGCCGGAGGUAACAUGGGGAAUCGAACUGGCGAACCCUGUGUUGGUAGGCAACGGAAUAGACCACUACGCUACCCGGACGCCUCAAGAGUCCAAAGUUUUAAUCUGUGUGAUGAUGACCAGCUGUAGUAAAGGUUUCCAGCUGGCCCGCUACCAGCCAGCAGUAGCAGAGCACAGGGCUUACACACCGUAUUGCAGAAGUAGGACUGAUGUAGCAA